rnacentral:rRNA from 1 species
GACGAACGCUGGCGGCGUGCCUAAUACAUGCAAGUAGAACGCUGAAGGAGGAGCUUGCUUCUCUGGAUGAGUUGCGAACGGGUGAGUAACGCGUAGGUAACCUGCCUGGUAGCGGGGGAUAACUAUUGGAAACGAUAGCUAAUACCGCAUAAGAGUAGAUGUUGCAUGACAUUUGCUUAAAAGGUGCAAUUGCAUCACUACCAGAUGGACCUGCGUUGUAUUAGCUAGUUGGUGGGGUAACGGCUCACCAAGGCGACGAUACAUAGCCGACCUGAGAGGGUGAUCGGCCACACUGGGACUGAGACACGGCCCAGACUCCUACGGGAGGCAGCAGUAGGGAAUCUUCGGCAAUGGACGGAAGUCUGACCGAGCAACGCCGCGUGAGUGAAGAAGGUUUUCGGAUCGUAAAGCUCUGUUGUAAGAGAGGAACGAGUGUGAGAGUGGAAAGUUCACACUGUGACGGUAUCUUACCAGAAAGGGACGGCCAACUACGUGCCAGCAGCCGCGGUAAUACGUAGGUGGCAAGCGUUAUCCGGAUUUAUUGGGCGUAAAGAGAGUGCAGGCGGUUUUCUAAGUCUGAUGUGAAAGCCUUCGGCUUAACCGGAGAAGUGCAUCGAAACUGGAUAACUUGAGUGCAGAAGAGGGUAGUGGAACUCCAUGUGUACCGUGGAAUGCGUAAUAUAUGAAAGAAACCAGUGGGCGAAAGCGGCUACCUGGUCUGCACUUACGCUGAAACUCGAAAGAUGGGUGGGGAACAGG